rnacentral:misc_RNA from 1 species
AAAAAAGUGCCUGCAAACCCACUGCCAAAUUCAAAGCCCUUUGUUGCAGGUAGUGACAAGGCAGCUUUAGCCAGCUCAGCUUCAAGUUUGUCAAAGACUGGUGAACCAAGCCCACGUGGGGCAUUCCUCACAAUGCAUGUGACCACUCCACCAACAGAAUCCCCUCUUACUCGGACAGUGUCAAUGGCAGCAAUCAUCUUCUCUGCAUAUUCAGGAUCUGGACACCUGACGAUGUUGCUCUCUAUCUGAUCAAUUGUCAGAGACUGGUGAUCAAUCUGGUCCUCUGGAAGUACCACCUGGUGAACUUGGGAGACAUAAGCAAGAAUCUCAGUUCCAGAAAAUUGCCUGAGAAUUUUCUUUGCAAUAGCUCCCGAUGCAACUCUUCCAAUAGUCUCUCUUGCUGAAGAUCUACCCCCACCCUGGACAGAUCUGACACCAUACUUCAGGUCAUAAGUUGCAUCCGCAUGAGAAGGCCUAUAAGCUACUGACAUUUCACUGUAAUCAUGUCCUCUUUGAUCUGUAUUGGGUACAAACACAUGGAUGGGUGUUCCAGUAGUCACUCCUUCAGAGACACCUGAAUAUAUUUUGCAUGUAUCAGUCUCUUUUCUAGGGGUGGUAAUUCGACUCUGACCUGGCCUCCUCCUAUCCAGAUCAACUUGCAAAUCAGCUUCUGAUAGAGGGAUACGAGGAGGGCAUCCAUCAACGAUACAACCAACGCCACCUCCAUGAGACUCUCCAAAAGUUGUAACACGAAAGUAAGUACCAUAUGUACUCCCCGCAGCAUGUAUUUGGAGCUUUUUGGGGGUUCGUGGGCGGAAGGAGAUCUGGACUGUGGCGAUAGAGAGGUCCCGGAGGUUGGAAAGCGAGGAAGACCCAUCAAGCCGGUAAGCCCCAAGGAAA